rnacentral:rRNA from 1 species
CAACAGCCGCGGUAAUACGGAGGAUGCGAGCGUUAUCCGGAUUUAUUGGGUUUAAAGGGUGCGUAGGCGGAUCAAUAAGUCAGUGGUGAAAUUCUGCAGCUUAACUGUAAACUUGCCAUUGAUACUGUUGGUCUUGAGUUUGGUCAAGGUAGGCGGAAUGUGUAAUGUAGCGGUGAAAUGCUUAGAUAUAACACAGAACACCGAUUGCGAAAGCAGCUUGCCGGGCCAAUACUGACGCUCAGGCACGAAAGCGUGGGGAUCGAACAGGAUUAGAUACCCUGGUAGUCCACGCCGUAAACGAUGAUCACUCGCUGUUAGCGAAUUUCCGGUUAGCGGCUAAGGCAAAGCAUUAAGUAAUCCACCUGGGGAAUACGGCCGCCAAAGGGAAACUCAAAGGGAUUGACGGGGCCCGCACCAGCGAGGGAACAUGUGGUUAAUUCGAUGAUACGCGAGGAACCUUACCUGGGCUUAAAUGUAGAGUGCAUGAGGUAGAAAUACUUCUUUUCUUCGGAACUCUCUGCAAGGUGCUGCAUGGUUGUCGUCAGCUCGUGCCGUGAGGUGUCGGGUUAAGUCCCAUAACGAGCGCAACCCUUAUCGUUAGUUGCCAGCGGGUAAUGCCGGGGACUCUAGCGAAACUGCCGGUGUAAACCGAGAGGAAGGUGGGGAUGACGUCAAAUCAGCACGGCCCUUAUGUCCAGGGCUACACACGUGUUACAAUGGCCGGUACAGAGGGCAGCUACCUGGAGACAGGAUGCGAAUCUCGAAAGCCGGUCUCAGUUCGGAUCGGAGCCUGCAACUCGACUCCGUGAAGCUGGAUUCGCUAGUAAUCGCGCAUCAGCCAUGGCGCGGUGAAUACGUUCCCGGGCCUUGUACACACCGCCCGUCAAGCCAUGGAAGUUGGGGGUACCUG